UACGGAGGGGGCGAGCGUUGUUCGGAAUCACUGGGUGUAAAGGGUGCGUAGGCGGUGCGUUAAGUCUGAUGUGAAAGCCCUGGGCUCAACUCAGGAAUUGCAUUGGAAACUGACGUGCUGGAGUACGGGAGAGGGAAGCGGAAUUCCUGGUGUAGCGGUGAAAUGCGUAGAUACCAGGAGGAACACCGGUGGCGAAGGCGGUUUCCUGGCCCAGUACUGACGCUGAGGCACGAAAGCGUGGGGAGCGAACGGG
rnacentral:rRNA from 1 species